CAGCCAUCAGCCCUGCUCUCUGGACAUCAGCCCUCCCACCCGCCAGCCAGACCUCAGUCACCUGCCGAUCCGCCAGCUAGACCUCAGUCCUCUGCUUCCCUGACACCCCUGCUACCUGUGGAACCACUGUACUUUUUCCCAGAAGAUGAGAAGGUGGUGUUUCAAGAGGUUGUGUUGGAGGAUGUACCGGAAGAAGAUAAUGACCUCUUCAAUCAGUUCACACCACAGAAAGAAACCCACUCCCAGGAUGAGGGACCUUCCACCUCCACAUCUGUGAGAUUGGUCACAUUCACUGACUUGAUCUCAGUGCCGCAAAGGGAGAGGGCCAUCAGAAAGAGAGUGAAGCCACCAUCAUAUAACCUCACAAGUGAGCAACACAUUGAAUAUAUUAAAACAAAAAAGUAAUCCGGCAAGCAACCAGCCAAGCAAGCCAGCAAGUACCCGGCCAGCAAGCAACCAAAAGGGGGAAAAAAGCAGGGCAAAAGAAGCAAAUCACCUUGCAAAGCCUGCAACACCCACUAUGGUGACCCAAAUGACCCUAAGGCUACUGAGGAAUGGGUAAAAUGUAAUCCAUGUUCUGCCUGGUUUCAUGAGAGCUGUGGUGAAGAGAAUGGUAUCUGUGAUGACGAUGGUUUCAUUUGCAAAGACUGUGUUUGAAAAAUGUUUUCAUCACACACACACAAAUCAGUUAUCAAUUUUGAAUGUGAAUUUUUGUAAUUUGCACAUUUCGUUCUAAAUGUAUUUUUCACACACACACACACACACACACACACACACACACACACACACACACACACACACACACACACACACACACACACACACACACACACCACUGACAUCAGUUCACUGAUCUAUGUUGUUCCAAAAUUUACUUUUUUAAUUGCACAUUUGAAUAUGUGGGUUUACACCCAAAAUGUAUUUUUUUUUUUUUAAUGGUACAUAUGAAUAUGUUUGUUUAAUGCAGUUUAAAUGUUAUGUGGCUGUAUAAGCAGUUCUGUUUUAAAAUUAAAAUUGAUGAUAAAUUACUAUUUCCCUUUACAGUUUGACUGGCCCAUCUGAUGUUUCAAGAACUGUAGGGCCUAAAUAAUUAUAUUUUAUUACAUAAUUUCAACACAAAAUUAUCAAAAACAGUCAUUAUUAAUCAUACAUACACGUGGAAUAGGCAUAUAUGGUAUUAUUGUCCCAAACGAUUUACCAAAAAGUGGCCCAAUUUAGCUGAUAUCACCCCUAAGUUAAUUAAGAGACUUACGGUUUAGACACCAUAUUGCCUAUUUUUGCAUUAUUUCGACAACAAAAUUAAAUCAAAUCAAAGCCACAGCGCUGCUUUGCCUCUCUGAGCAACAUGAUGGUGUUUCGUUUCUGAAUGAAUCAAACGUUUAAAUGAUUCAGUUCAAGCACAAUGACUCACUUAUUAACAGUGACUUGCUGCCACCUACUGGUGGUUUAAAUUUCACAUUUAAAGUACCUUUAUUUAAAUAAUUUCAAAAAUCAGUAUUCAACGUUUUAUGUUUAAUAUAUCAAACCAUUAUUUAUGCAUUUGUAAAAAUAGACCUUUGUAAAGGUAAAUAAAAAUAUGCAUAUAUUAGAAGGGCCUCAUCUUUUAAUCUUACCUGGGGCCCCCACUUUAUCUUGGUUUGCCUCUGUGUAGAAGUAUUGUUCAUUUUUAGUUCAUGUUAACUAAAGUAGUUAACUAAUGUUAACUAAUGAACCUUAUUGUAAAGUGUUACCAGCCUAAUCCACUUGGCCAGAAUAUUUAUUCAGGCUACACAAGGAAUUUAAGGAGAUGUUGUAAGAACACGUUAUGUUUGCUA
ensembl:lncRNA